GAGAAGCAUGUGUGCUUGGCAGGGAGGGAAGGGAAGGAAGAAGCCACCACGCUUCCAAAGCUGAUGGAUGCUAGGAAAUGCCCUCAGGCUACAAACUGGGAAG